CCAUACUUUCCUGCAACUUCUCGGUCUUCUUCCAGUGUUUUUUAAGGUUUUUUCAUAUCCGUGCUAUUACAUUGUAUGGAAAGGUUUUGCUUUUACCAAUGGUAAAAUAUAUUUUUAUAAGUAAGUGUCUGAUUGCUUGAUCUCUUGGUUGGUUGAUUGAACACGUCAAUUGAACAGUUCGUUAAUUGAUUGAUUGAUUUUAUUAUUUAGUCCUUUUCCGUUUACUGUUCAGUAAACUUAACUAAUUUAACGAAUAUUGUGAAGAAGGAUCCGCAGUAAUUGGCUGUAGCUGUUGCGGAAAUCCUGCCUUGUUUAUAUAUAUAGUAAUUUGAUGUUUCUUCUUAAUAUUGUUACCAAGGCAAAGUUAGAUAAAUUAAAUCAGUUACAUAUAUAGUUAAUACGCCUUCGCCCAUUUAGUACUACAAAAUUGCAAGCAAAUUGUAAAUUUCGACAUACUAAAACGCUGUUUUCUG